CUAGAGUCUGCUAUUGUUCCUCUUAACCCGAAUCCACUGUCUUUGCACAUUCUCCAAUGAGAACUGGCCGGUGUGAGCUUUGAAGCCGAAAUCCACAGCGCAAGUCGCCAAUCAAACAAACCAGUCAGACAAACAGGGAGAGCGAGAGAGAGCGAGGAAAGAGCGUGCGUCUCAUAUGGACUAACAGAGCCGCGCUCGUGAUCAGUGCACGAUCUUCUGCCACUGGAUACCGGAAAGGGCCUCCUGAUCACCAUCUAUCAAAGCACAGCGAUUGAGCCUGAGAAUAAACGAGAAGGACUAUGACACAGGCGCUCAAGAGGCCGUGCACACGAGAUCGACUUGACAACUUUGGGCUCCUGAGCUCAAAUACAUCUGUAUUUAAGAUACGUUUAUUUAAUAGGACCAUCUGAGCCACAUGUGAGGAAACGUUGUGUAGUUAGAGCCUAAUGAAACAGUUGCGCAACUUAUAGCGCCAUCUAGCUCCUUUCUGUGUUCCUCCUGUGCACUGCAGCACCCCCUACAGGAACAUGUCUGCAGCGCAGACUCAGAAUGACCGGGAGCAGUGCUGGGGUUGUCUGGAAUCGCUCGGCCUCAGCCAGAGGGAGCUGGUCCUUGCAGAGGCCCUGCAGAUGGAGUAUGACGCUCUCGCCCGCCACCGACAGGACAAGGCCCCAGCAAAUACUCUACCCCCUGAAACCAAGUCAUCGCCUGCAAAAAGCGAGCCCUCCCUGCCUAGACACGUUCCCAGUCCUCCUUGGAAUAAUUUGCAGCAGGGUGUUUCCGGAUCUGACCCCAUGCUCAACCACGUUCAACCCGGGGUGUCGAACUUAUCACAAUCCAGCAGUGAGUCUUCCGGAUUUAGUAAGGAGCCUCGUUACAUUCUGGAUGAAUGGAAAAGUGACUUCGAAGGAACGUCGCAGUUGCUGUCAAAAGGGCCACCGUCUCUAGAUGAGCCUCCGCCACCAGUACCACCCAGAAAUCCCAUCCUCCAGAACGAUCCGUUCAUUGUCCAUCGAAGCUCAGCCCCACGGGAUGUCAACUUGUUCACUCCUGAGGUGGACCAGCCCAAGCUUUCCUUCGGAGACACUCUGAACUAUGAUAACCUCAAUGACUCCCUGAGCAAGCUAAAUGAGGAUUGGCUCUCACCUAAUAGAAGCCAGAGAGCAAAUGGGGACAAAUCAGGGAAGACAGUAGCUCGCAGUAACACCCUUCCUCCUCAGAUUCCUCCCCGCACCUAUCUUCCAGCGCAGAAGAGUACUAGAAGCCAACGCAGAGUAUCAAUUGAUCCGGUAUCUCUAGGGUCCAGGCCAAAUGGCUUUGGUUACGAGCUCUUUCAGGUUUCUGAAGAGAGGGAUGAAGAAGUGGCGGCCUUCUGUCAUAUACUUGACUUGCUACGAUUGGCGUACCCAUGCAAUGACUACUCCAAAAAUACAGGCUUUGUUUGGAGUCCGUGUGUGGCACAAGAUGAACUGCAGCAGGGCCUGGGGGUCAGCAUAAAGGUCACGGUUUACAGUGACAACUUCAGAGAACCACUCACAUUCUCUUGUGAUGGAUCUUCAACCAUAGACCUGCUAAUUUAUCAGACUCUCUGCUAUGCCCAUGAUGACCUGGAUAUGAUUGAUGUGGACGACUACCUGCUGAAAAUCUGCGGCCAGGCAGAGUUCCUCAAAAACACUCAGACUCUGGCGAGCUUUGAGUACAUCCAGCAGUGUCUGAAGUUUGACUGGGACAUUCAACUCAUUCUUACCAAACGGAGUUCUGUCAACAUGGAGCUGGGCCGAACGGCAGAGGAUGAUGUUACUCCAUCCACCAUGAACCAAAGUAUUCUACUGCAAGAGAGGUCAAUCAAACAGACCGUGACCAGGGAGGCACUGACUCUUCUCCUGGAUACCUUUUACAAUGAGGCUGAGUCUUUCCUUUUAUCGGAGGUUGAGUUGCCGUUGCAUGUGGAGAGGUUAGUGCAGUCUGUGAAGGCUUUGUGUUCUUCUCUAGCAGCUGUUGAAACACCUGACAUCACUGCUGCCCUAAACCAACUGCCAGCAUGCCCCUGCAGACUACAGCCUAAAGUGCAAAAGGAUGUCAGUGUCUUGGCAAAGAGAGAAAACAGAGUGACAAUUGUGGAGAAAUUGACUGCAGCCAUCUUGGAUCUUGUGGAGUUGUACUGCAGCACUUUCAAUGCUAAUUUCCACACCAUGCCACACAGCAGCAGAUCCACAGCCCCCAUACAGGAAGCUGGAAUGGUCACCAACGUGCUUUCCUUCAGCGUUUAUGCGGCUCAUCGCAUCCCUAUCACAUGGGCUGCCAGCUAUGAAAAUUUCUUCCUGUCCUGUUCUCUUACACAUGGCGGAGUGGAGCUUUGUGCCCCCCAGCACACCAGUAAACAGUCGGUCAGCAAAUAUCUCUUCCACCUGGUGGUGUGGGACCAGAGAGUUUGCUUCCCCAUCCAGAUCAACCAGUUGCCAAGGGAGUCACAGUUGACUGUAACACUAUAUGCCACCCCUGUACCGCCCCCUGGAGGUGCGGAGGAGAAGGGCAAACAGAAACGCAGCAUUGAGGCUUUGGGUUGGGUCACCAUGCCCUUAUUCAACUUUAGACAUGUUCUAACAUGUGGGAGGAAGCUGCUGGGUCUCUGGCCUUCAACCCCUGGCAGUGGAAAUGCUCGUUCCAGUUUGCCCAACUUCAGCCAGCCAGACAGUGUCAUCCUUCAGGUUUGGCCUUUUGCUCAAAUCAAAUUGUUGACUCCAGAGGACCGGCGUCUAUUGUGGGAGAAGCGUUAUUUCUGCCACGUUGAAGCCAGUCGUCUGCCGCUGGUCCUGGCCAGCGCACCCAGCUGGGAGUGGGCAUGUCUUCCUGAUAUCUAUGCCCUGCUCCGCCAGUGGGGAUGCAUGAACCACCUGGAUGCCCUAGGCCUGCUGAACGCCACGUUUCCAGAUCAGGAGUGCAGGCGGACAGCGGUCCAGUGGAUGGACUCAAUCUCUGAUCCUGAGCUUUUGGACUUCCUUCCUCAGUUAGUGCAGGCGCUGAAGUACGAGUGUUAUCUGGACAGUCACCUGGUGCGUUUUCUGCUGAGGAGGGCCAUUGGGGACAUACGCAUUGCUCACUACCUCUUCUGGUUGCUGAAAGAUGCUCUUCAAGACUCUCAGUUUAGCGUGAGGUAUCAGUAUCUGCUGGCGGCUCUUCUCUGCUGCUCUGGUCGUGGUUUGAGAGAAGAGUUUGAUCGGCAAUGCUGGCUGGUCAAUAUUCUGGCUAAAAUAGCCCAACGUGUUCGAGAUGCCUCGCCUUCAUCCAGACAGGCUAUUCUCCGGGAGGGUCUGGAUGAGGUCAAACAGUUCUUCUCUAUGAACAGCAGUUGUCGACUUCCUUUGAACCCGGGCCUGUUCGUCAAGGGCAUCAACAUACAGUCUUGCUCCUACUUCAACUCUAAUGCAGUGCCCCUCAAGCUGUCGUUCCAGAACCAGGAUGCUCUGGGGGACCACGUCAAUGUCAUCUUUAAGUGUGGAGAUGACCUGCGGCAGGACAUGCUGACGCUGCAGAUCAUCCGGAUCAUGAAUAAGAUCUGGAUCCAGGAGGGACUUGAUAUGAGGAUGGUCAUCUUCCGCUGUUUCUCUACUGGACGAGGCAAAGGCAUGGUAGAGAUGAUUCCCAGUGCAGAAACCCUGAGGAAGAUCCAGGUUGAGCAUGGAGUGACUGGUUCUUUCAAAGACCGGCCUUUGGCAGAUUGGCUGCAGAAACACAACCCCACUGAGGAUGAGUAUGAAAAGGCAGUGGAAAACUUCAUCUAUUCGUGUGCUGGUUGUUGUGUGGCCACAUACAUUCUAGGAAUCUGCGACCGCCACAAUGACAACAUCAUGCUUAAGACUAGCGGACACAUGUUUCACAUCGACUUUGGCAAGUUCCUGGGGCAUGCACAGAUGUUUGGCAACAUCAAACGGGACCGGGCUCCUUUUGUGUUUACAUCUGACAUGGCGUAUGUCAUCAAUGGAGGUGACAAGCCAUCCAGCCGUUUCCAUGAUUUUGUGGACUUGUGUUGUGAAGCCUACAAUCUGAUUAGGAAACAUGCACAUCUUUUUCUCAAUCUGCUUGGGCUGAUGCUCUCCAGUGGGAUACCAGAGUUGUCUGAUGUGGAUGAUCUGAAAUAUGUUUAUGAUGCUCUGAGACCACAUGAAUCAGAAGCAGAUGCCACCAUGCACUUCACCAGGCUAAUCGAGUCCAGUCUUGGCAGUGUGGCUACUAAGCUCAAUUUCUUCAUCCAUAACCUGGCCCAAAUGAAAUUUGCAUCCUCUGAGGAGCGUCCCGUUCUGUCAUUUGCUCCCCGUGUCUACACUUUAAAGAGUGAUGGUGUCAUUCGCAACCUAUUCGUCUGCAGACACAUCAAAACCUAUACUCCAAGCAAAGGCUAUUCUUAUGUUGUAAAAGUGGAGCGGGAAGGUCAGCAGGGGUCAACUUUAGUCCAGAGGACAUUUGAGGAGUUCCAUGAACUUCACAGUAAACUGCAGCUCAUCUUCCCUUCAUCAAAACUACCCAGCUUCCCCAGCCGCUUUGUGAUUGGUCGGUCUCGAGGAGAGGCCCUUGCAGACAGGAGGAAAGAGGAGCUAAAUGGAUAUGUUUGGCAUUUGAUCCAUGCUACUCAAGAGGUGGCACAGUGUGAUCUGAUCUACACAUUCUUUCACCCUCUACCAAGAGACGAGCGGGCAGGAAGUGUAGGAACUGUUGUUAAUGCACUCCAUAACAAACCAGCAGAUGUGUCCUGGGCUCCUGUUCCCGGUACAGUGGCAGGGGAAGUGAAGCUCUCAGUUCUGUACAAGAGCGACAAGCUUUUUAUCAUGGUGAUGCACAUCAGAGGCUUGCAACCUUUGCAGGACGGAACAGAUCCUGAUCCAUACGUCAAAUUGUACCUCCUCCCAGACCCUCAGAAAACUAGCAAGAGGAAGACCAAGGCAGCCCGGCGAACAUGCAACCCCACUUACAAUGAGAUGCUGGUGUAUGACAAGAUUCCACGUGGUGAUUUGCAGCAAAGAACCGUUCACCUGCGGGUACUGAGUGAGGGUGCAUUCUGGGAGAAUACCCUGCUGGGUGAAACCAUUAUUCAACUGAAAGACCUCACCCCGGGCCAUCGCUGGGUUGGCUGGCACCAGCUUGGCUCUGACAUAAACCGCUAACACUUGUGUGGAUGCCCAUUGGAAAUGAAGGAUUUCACAUGAGUCCUUCAGUGUGCAUGCGUUUGUGUCUGUCUUUGCUUAUGGGUCUGGAGUUGGAGAUGCCCAGCUGCUCAGAAGCCUGUUUCCCCCAGUGGGGGUUUGUGUUUGUUAAUUCUCCCAGGAGACGUGUAGAGUCGGUGAUGGAGUGUCAUCGCUUGAUACUGUUCUGGUGGGGUACCGUGCACCAUGUGAACCAGACCUUGGAUUUAUGGAAGCGGUUCUUGGUGACACUAUGGGACAAAAACCAUUUGGUGACACAAGGAUUGGCAGACAGAAUAUUUAAAGAUGAAAUAACUUUCAUGCGCCAUAUUUUUGGGGAGAUUUCUGGAAAAUUGAUGUCUGUGAAACUUUAAAGCCCCAUUUUGUCUUCUUGAGAAUGCUAAUGGAAAUUUAAGUUAUUUUUUUUUUAAGAUGUUUCUCUGUUGCAGCUCAAUUUUGAGCUAUGUUGUGUCCUGUGACAUUAGUUUUUCUCUUUGUAUCAGAUUUUGCAGACAUUUACCUAGGAAUUAAUAGUGAGGAACGCUUUUGUACUGUAAAGUUGGAUAAUUUCAGAUUGCCUGUGGCAUUUACCUGAUCAUGAAAAAGGGAUGAACACUUAAUAGUCUUUGGCUUGAAAUUGUGGAAUUAACUUGCUUCAUAUAACCACUGCAGGAAGUGACACAAACAGUACAGAGGGAAUGUAGAUUUUUGAUCAUGUAAAAUAGGUGGGUUCAUAAAAAAAGGAAUUGCAUGUACAGUAUAUUGAGCAAAGGAGACAAACCAGGAAUAUGAAUUUUGUUGCAUAAACCUCUAAGAUUUGUUUCUUUCCAAAAUGAUGGGGCGCAACUUUAUAUGCAGAAAAGGCUUUUGAAGGGACUUGAUUUUGCCUUGUUGAUAUAAGCAUAACCUACACAAGGACAUUUCUGUUUGGAAAUAGUUGAUUUGCAUGUUGUAAUAUUUGCUACUGGAUAAAUAUUGCAUUUUUGCAUUUGUUUGUCAAGUAUAUUGACCUCACAUUUUUCCAAGUUUUAUUGGUUAAUUUUGUGUGUGUGCGCCAAAGGGGGAGUGAAAUGAAUGCUUUAGACUGUAGUUAGGUCAAUUUCCAUUCCACAUUUGUACAGUAUGUAAAACUGCAUGUAAAUUAAAUGCUAAAUAUACCACAGGAGUUUUUUUUUUUUUUUCAACUUAAAGAUUUUGCAUUUAGAUUUGCUUUACUUUGCACUCAGUUUGAUUUUGAGAAGAACAACCUUAUAGCUCAUAUAAGUUUAGAAAAGAAAUUAAGUAAUUGGAAAUCUAUUUAAAUUAUAUUUGAUCUUACUUGCAUAAAAUUGUCUAAUUUAACAAAGUGGCAUUGAUGUUUGUGUUACAAAAAUAACCUACAAGUCAAAAGUGCAACCCCUGUAUGCGGAGGUGCUCUAACAAUCCAGUAGCCUUAAGCAAACUUAUAGGUAAGAUUAUCCAGUUCAAAGCAGUCCCUGUUCUAUAGCUCUUUCUAACCAGACAAACCAGCUCCAUUUCAGAUAUGAAGUACAUUUUCCCAAGUAUUGAACUUUCCUUCAAAUGACAAAUGGUUGUGUAUGUGUAUUUUUUCCCUCCAAAGGGCACUAUUGUGUGAUGUUUAACCUAAUGGGAAAUGAUUGUAUGAUUGCAUGCCAACCCAUAAUGCAAAGCUGAGUGUUUUAGAAAAAAUAAUAAUAAUAAUGUUUUGUGUGUGUAUGCAGAAGAGUUUGGAUUUAAACGUAUAGUACUUUUAUAACAUCUGUGACCCUUAUUUUAAUAAAUAAAGAGGAUGUGAUUAAAAUCA
ensembl:lncRNA